UACGAAGGGGGCUAGCGUUGCUCGGAAUUACUGGGCGUAAAGCGCACGUAGGCGGCUUUCUAAGUCGGAUGUGAAAUCCCCAGGCUCAACUUGGGAACUGCAUCCGAUACUGGAUGGCUUGAAUUCGGGAGAGGGAUGCAGAAUUCCAGGUGUAGCGGUGAAAUGCGUAGAUAUCUGGAGGAAUACCGGUGGCGAAGGCGGCAUCCUGGACCGACAUUGACGCUGAGGAGCGAAAGCUAGGGGAGCAAACGGG
rnacentral:rRNA from 1 species